rnacentral:rRNA from 1 species
UCAGGAUGAACGCUGCGGCUGCCUAAUACAUGCAAGUCGAACGCACAGCGAAAGGUGCUUGCACUUUCAAGUGAGUGGCGAACGGGUGAGUAACACGUGGAUAACUACCUCAAGGUUGGGAUAACAUUUGGAAACAGAUGCUAAUACCGAAUAAAACUUAGUAUCGCAUGAUACCAGGUUAAAGGCGCUACGGCGUCACCUAGAGAUGGAUCCGCGGUGCAUUAGUUAGUUGGUGGGGUAAAGGCUUACCAAGACAAUGAUGCAUAGCCGAGUUGAGAGACUGAUCGGCCACAUUGGGACUGAGACACGGCCCAAACUCCUACGGGAGGCUGCAGUAGCGAAUCUUCCACAAUGGGCGAAAGCCUGAUGGAGCAACGCCGCGUGUGUGAUGAAGGCUUUCGGGUCGUAAAGCACUGUUGUAUGGGAAGAACAGCUAGAGUAGGGAAUGACUUUAGUUUGACGGUACCAUACCAGAAAGGGACGGCUAAAUACGUG